UCUCAGGACUGACUUCCCAUGGUGAG
rnacentral:piRNA from 1 species